AUGCAAGUCGAACGGAAAGGCCCUUCGGGGUACUCGAGUGGCGAACGGGUGAGUAACACGUGGGUGAUCUGCCCUGCACUUUGGGAUAAGCCUGGGAAACUGGGUCUAAUACCGAAUAUGACCAUGCACUUCCUGGUGUGUGGUGGAAAGCUUUUGCGGUGUGGGAUGGGCCCGCGGCCUAUCAGCUUGUUGGUGGGGUAAUGGCCUACCAAGGCGACGACGGGUAGCCGGCCUGAGAGGGUGACCGGCCACACUGGGACUGAGAUACGGCCCAGACUCCUACGGGAGGCAGCAGUGGGGAAUAUUGCACAAUGGGCGCAAGCCUGAUGCAGCGACGCCGCGUGAGGGAUGACGGCCUUCGGGUUGUAAACCUCUUUCAGCACAGACGAAGCGCAAGUGACGGUAUGUGCAGAAGAAGGACCGGCCAACUACGUGCCAGCAGCCGCGGUAAUACGUAGGGUCCGAGCGUUGUCCGGAAUUACUGGGCGUAAAGAGCUCGUAGGUGGUUUGUCGCGUUGUUCGUGAAAACUCACAGCUUAACUGUGGGCGUGCGGGCGAUACGGGCAGACUUGAGUACUGCAGGGGAGACUGGAAUUCCUGGUGUAGCGGUGGAAUGCGCAGAUAUCAGGAGGAACACCGGUGGCGAAGGCGGGUCUCUGGGCAGUAACUGACGCUGAGGAGCGAAAGCGUGGGGAGCGAACAGGAUUAGAUACCCUGGUAGUCCACGCCGUAAACGGUGGGUACUAGGUGUGGGUUUCCUUCCUUGGGAUCCGUGCCGUAGCUAACGCAUUAAGUACCCCGCCUGGGGAGUACGGCCGCAAGGCUAAAACUCAAAGAAAUUGACGGGGGCCCGCACAAGCGGCGGAGCAUGUGGAUUAAUU
rnacentral:rRNA from 1 species